AAAGAUCGUAUACAAAUAAAUACAAUACAAUGUGGUAAAAGAUCUCAGCCUCCAUAACUUUAAAAAUGGUAUAAAUUAUAUCGUUUAAAAAUUGCAAGAAGAAAACUGUUGCAAACAUUUGCAGUCACAUGACCUGAAAGGACCUUUGAAGAUACAACUUUUGGAAUCUUAGUCUCCAUUUUGAAUAUAUACUUUUGCUGUUAUAACCAGUAGAAGAGAAUUUCCAGCAACUUAUACGUUAUUAUUUUUCCAGGUGACUGAGCAUUGAAAGAACUUUACUCAUAAAUGGGUUGUCAACACUAGCAUGGAGUGUCUUAGGCAGCAGUAAGUUCACCAUUCUUGGGUAUUUAAAAAGAAGAUGGAUGAACAUCUGAAAGGAAUCCCGUAAUGAGGUUUUGGCAUUGCUCAACAGAUUAACUUUUAACACUCUUCCAUCUUUGAUCUUUUUUACAUUCCAACUUCAACGUAAAACUUUCUUGAAGCCAAGAAGUAUUAAUUUUAAAAUGGAAAAAACACCAUAUUUAUUUGUGUUACUUAUUUAUAUCACAUGAAUAUACUUUCAGAUAUGUGGAUAUUCAAUACUGUCUACAGUUUGUAACA
rnacentral:lncRNA from 10 species